rnacentral:misc_RNA from 1 species
GAGGAGCAGUUUGGUGAUGAGGAUGGUAUUGAUGAUGAUUUGGAAGAGUCAUCGGAUUCUGAGGAUGAAUCUGAAUAUGAUGAUUUGCCACCAUUUAAAAGUUUGACAAAGGCCCAGGUGGCCAAGCUUACUAGAGCUCAGAAAAAGGCAUAUUUUGACGAGUUAGAAUAUAGGGAAAAGCUUUUGAUGAGGAAGCAGUUGAAGGAGGAGAAAAAUCGACGAAAAAUGACGAAGAAAAUGGCUGCUGCUGCUAAGGAUUUGCCUAGUGAUUACAGUGAAAAUGCAGAAGAGGAAAGCGGUGGCGCUGCAUCUGUGCCAGUUCCAAUGCCAGAUUUAGCAUUGCCUGCUUCUUUUGAUUCUGAUAAUCCCACACAUCGGUAUCGUUAUCUUGAUACCUCCAACCAGUGGCUUUUGAGGCCUGUUCUAGAAACUCAUGGUUGGGAUCAUGAUGUUGGUUAUGAAGGUAUAAAUGUAGAAAGAUUGUUUGUGGUGAAAGACAAAAUUCCUUUAUCUUUUUCUGGGCAGGUAACAAAGGAUAAAAAGGAUGCCAAUGUUCAAAUGGAAUUGGCAAGCUCUAUAAAGCAUGGGGAUGGGAAAUCCACUUCACUAGGUUUUGAUAUGCAGACUGUGGGGAAGGAUUUGGCUUAUACUUUACGUAGUGAGGCAAAGUUUUGUAAUUACAGGAAGAAUAAGGCAACAGCUGGUCUCUCAGUCACCCUCUUGGGUGACGCCUUAUCAGCUGGACUGAAAGUUGAAGAUAAAUUGAUUGUCAAUAAACGGUUCCGAAUGGUCCUGUCUGGGGGUGCAAUGACUGGCCGUGGUGAUGUAGCUUAUGGUGGCAGGUUUAGAGGCACAGCUGAGAGACAAGGAUUAUCCUUUGGGUCGUUCCCUAUCGACACUUGGGCUCUCUGUCAUGGAUUGGCAUGGAGAUCUUGCUGUUGGUUGCAAUAUUCAAUCUCAGGUGCCUAUAGGGCGGUCUACAAAUUUAAUUGCUCGUGGAAAUUUGAAUAACAGGGGGGCAGGACAAAUCAGUAUUCGCA